rnacentral:rRNA from 1 species
GAUGAACGCUGGCGGCGUGCCUAAUACAUGCAAGUCGAGCGAACAGACGAGGAGCUUGCUCCUCUGACGUUAGCGGCGGACGGGGGGGAAAAACGGGAUAAACCUACUAAAAGACCUGGGUAACCUCCGGAAACCCGGGCCUAUUACCGGUAAUAUAAUUAACCCCAUGGGUCAAUAAUUAAAGACGGGUUUUCUGGCCAUUAUUGAAUGAACCCACCCCCCAUUAGCUGGUUGUAAAGUUAACGGCUUACAAAGGCAACGAUGCGUAGCCGACCUGAGAGGGUGAUCGGCCACCCUAGAACUAGACCACGGUCCCGACUCCUACGGGAGGCAGCAGUAGGGAAUAUUCCACAAUAGGCGAAAGCUUAACGGAGCAACGCCGCGUGAGUGAUGAAGGUCUUCGGAUCGUAAAACUCUGUUAUUAGGGAAGAACAAAUGUGUAAGUAACUAUGCACGUCUUGACGGUACCUAAUCAGAAAGCCACGGCUAACUACGUG